UACGUAGGGGGCAAGCGUUGUCCGGAUUUAUUGGGCGUAAAGAGCGUGUAGGCGGCCAGAUAGGUCCGUUGUGAAAACUGGAGGCUUAACCUCCAGCUGUCGAUGGAAACCAUCUGGCUAGAGUCCGGAAGAGGAGAGUGGAAUUCCUGGUGUAGCGGUGAAAUGCGCAGAUAUCAGGAAGAACACCCGUGGCGAAGGCGGCUCUCUAGUACGGUACUGACGCUGAGACGCGAAAGCGUGGGGAGCGAACAGG
rnacentral:rRNA from 1 species